CCAAACUGAGGACCAGUUUUCCUCACAGGAGGAGGCUGGUGGGGCCUAGGGUGUUAGGGGUACAACGGUUGGCUCUUUCACAGAACGGGUGUUUUCCGUUCUGCGUUUGAGUCUGCCGUCUUUGGGCGUCUCCCUCUGAGAUGUCGGUUAGGAUUUCUUUUUUUUAUAUGUCCGUGUGUGUAACUGUUGCCUUUUAGCCUGUUGUGUUCCUGAGCAGCAAGAAGAGGCGGCUGUGGUGACCCGCCCGAUGCGGAAGGCUUCUGGGCCCUGUCGGCGGGGGCGCACCUCUCUGGCUGACUGGUUGACCAGGCUUUGACCAGGUGGCCGGGGAGGCGCAUCCUCGCUGGGCGGUGUCUGGGGGCCCUCCGUCUUGGGGAGGUCGCUGCAGCAGGAGGAGGUAACUACUGCUGGUUUUGUAAGGCAUUGUGGUUGAGAGCACCUUGCAGCUGUAACGCGAAUUUCGUUCCGUAAUAAACAAUGUACCGCCAUGCUGCCUGUCCUUCCUCCCUCCCAGCACUGUGUACGUCUGUGUGUGUGUGUGGCUUAAUUCUCCCUCACUGCACUGUGCGUACGUCUGUGUGUGUGUGUUGCUUAAUUCUCCCUCACUGCACUGUGCGUACGUCUGUGUGUGUGUGUGUGUGUUGCUUAAUUCUCCCUCCCAGCACUGUGUACGUCUGUGUGUGUGUGUGUGUGUGUGUUGCUUAAUUCUCCCUCACUGCACUGUGCGUACGUCUGUGUGUGUGUGUUGCUCUGUCUCUCUCUCUCAAUCUCUCUCUCUGUCUCUGUCUCUCUCUGUCUGUCUCUCUAUCUCUCAAUCUCUCUCUGUGUCUUUCUCUCUCUCUCUCUAGUUAGUAAAGAACAGGCAACGUUUGCCAUGGAAGACUCUACAGUAUAAGACUCUACAGUAUACAUAAGACUACAGUGUACAUCCCAACCCUCUACGGCCGUUGCUGCUCCACCCGGGCAUUACCACAUCCACCCGGGUCUACAAGAAACCUCCACGGCCGAGCCUCAACCACAGAACACACCGCUACGGUUGAUGAGGUUCCACGCCCCGGACUACCGCCAUGUUAGCCUCCAUAAUAGUCCUCGGCGCACUUGUUCUGAGACGUCCUGACUGAAGAGCUACACAACACCGGUCAUCCGCUGAGUGGUUGAUUUCCUGGUCUACCGGCCCCAGGAGGAGUGGUCGAUUGCCUGGUCUACCGUGGAUGUGAGUGGUUGAUUCCCUGGUCUACCCCUGGAUGACGUGGCUGUUCUUAUGCAGGGGAGGACUCACACAAGCGAUAAGCACCUGUCAGACCUGGAGACUCCCCCCUGAGCCUGACGGUGGAGCUGUGGGCCCUGCACCAGACCCCCACACCCCCCCCCAAACCACCCACAGCAGGGGCAGGGCGUUGAGACUACCCCCACAGGCUAAGACAGGGAGGGACUUGAAGAUCCAGGUUUUUGUCAUCUGCACAGAAAUUGACACAUGGUAUUUGGGAGCAGCGAGUAGCAGGCUUUUUUAAUAUAGUUUCCUUUUUUGUGUGUGCCCUUGAGCUGUCUCCUUUGUUGUAGAAAAAAAUACUUGACAAGGCUUUCAUAGGUGUUUGGGGCAUUUCCAGGGGUAGUUUAAUGACCCUGGUGGUAGUCUGACCCUUCCUCUGUGCAAUGAACUUGAAAAAACGCUCAUAAAAAUGCAGAUAUUAACCCAGUAGCAGCGGGGAUCAUGUUUCUUAAUGGUCCCUCCAAGUGAGAAAAAUGAGAAAAAAAUCACCCCUCACACAAACCAUUUCAUAUAUAUCAAAGCAUUUGCGAUCAGAUUAUGUAUCAUCUAUUUUUGGGGUUUAUAUCAUGGCACAAAUUAAUUUAGCCUUUCGCUGCUACACGGCAAAGCCACAAAUUUGGCCCGUCGCUGCUACACGGUAAAGCCACAAAUUUGGCCCGUCGCUGCUACACGGUAAAGCCACAAAUUUAGCCUGUCGCUGCUACACGGUAAAGCCACAAAUUUGGCCCGUCGCUGCUACUGGGUUAACCUCAUUAUCGUGUUAAAAUCCCUGUAUCUCUCUGUUAUCUUCCUCUCCCUCUAUAUUAUUUGUCAAUCUCUCUGUCUCUCUCACAGAUGUCUAAGGUUCCGCCCAUGCAGCUGAAGGGUGCCAGUGCCUACACAUGCGUCGACCACAGGUGUGCGCUGGACAUUGCCUACAAUUCAUGGUGCAAAUGGGAGCGUCAGCGGAGAUCGAGCUGGCGGAAGGUUGGCGGUCGGGUCAAGCUCGCAACGGACAAGGAGUUCUAUGAGAUGUGCUCGGCGGAUGUUGUUGACCUCAGCCACAUCAAUGUCACUAAGGUGGUGGAGGUGGGGAACGGCAUCUACAUUGACGACGGACUCAAGGAGAUCGCUGAGACUACUACUACUACUAUUACUAUUACUAUCCUCUAUACUGAUAUGUGUACUAUUAAAUCCUCUAUACUGCUACUAUGUGUACUAUUGAAUCCCUUAUAUAGUACUUCCAUGACAGCUGAUACUACUACUACUACUACUACUACUAUGACCACUCAAUCCCUGGUAAGUACAAUG